CAAUGUCAAAUUAAAUAAACAAAAUGGUGUUGUGUUUUUAAUUGUUUUGCUACGUUUUUUAACAAUUAUCAUUAGAAUUUAAACAUUUUAUGAAUUAACGAGCUACUAUUUUAGCUAUAAAAAUGUAUAUACGUGUAUGGUGUUUUAAAAUUAUUAAUUUUCGGACCUGUUACCAGUGAAAAUGCUUCCAACUUUUCUAUUAUUAAAUCAUAUGGCUAAUCGACGGAGAAACCUGCGUAAAACUAUGAAAACUGUUAAAAAUCAAUGGAAAAAUCUUGAUAUGAACCACUGCAGGACCUGUCUGGCCACUGAUGACCUUGUGCCAAUAUUUUACAAUAGUGAAUGUGAUGAAAAACGCUCGGAAGAUCUAAAACUUGUCACCGGCUUAGAGAUUAAACUCAAUGAUGGAUUAUCACAAGCAAUCUGCCAUCAAUGCAUUGAGAAAAUGGAAGCAGCUCUACAAUUCCGACAGACGAGCAGAAAAUCUGCAAAAAUCUUACUCAACAUGCUCUACACUAAAUCCAAGAGGAAGUUCAAAGCUAAGCCUUCUAGACGUGUCAAGAAGUUUAAAGAGGAACAAGUUGCGGAGGUAGCUGAUUAUGACAAUGGCUGUGAUAACCAUUUGUAUGAGGAAGCGGAGGAUUUUCACAAUGAGACUGAUUAUGUGUACGACAAUAAUGAAUAUUCUGCAGCUUUACCUGAGAAAAUAGAACAGAAAGAAACCCACACUAGAAGAAAACGAGAUUCAAUACCGAAUGCUCCGUCCUACAAAUGUAACACAUGCAGCAAGGAGUUCAGGAUGAAGACCACGUACAAAGCACACAUGAGAUUCCAUACCAACUACUGUGUGUGUGAGACGUGUGGGAAGCGAUGUCGGAACAACAACCAGCUGCAAGAGCACAAGCGAGCUCGCCACGGGUUAGGCCGCAUCCACAAGUGCGCCUAUUGCGAAUAUAGCUCCGCUACCAAAGAAGCCCUCACUAUUCAUGAGCGUCGUCACACGGGCGAACGUCCAUACAUAUGCGAUCACUGCGGCGCCACGUUCCACAGACGAUCCAACCUCGUCCAACACAUCGCGAUACAUCUGCCCGAGAAGAACUUCCAGUGUGACAUGUGUCCAAAAAAGCUGAAAUCGCGCAAGUUCCUCCAGAUACAUAAGCAUAACGCGCACACUGGGAAACGGUACGGCUACCUGUGCUCGGUGUGCGAGCAUCGGUUCGAGAAGCCGAACAAGGUUCGCGCGCAUGCUCGCCGCGUGCACGCGCUCACCGACGAGCAGAUCGGGCCGAUUGUUCGGGUGCAGCUUGUACCAUAUGUCUUAAACGCGAGAAAUCUCGUAAACUGCUACAAGUACACGUAUACAAAAGUCACAGAGAAAAUCAAUAUAGAUAUCUAUGUCCCGUUUGCAAAGAAUCGUUCGCUCGGCCGACCAAUGUGAGACGGCAUCUGACCAGGGCGCAUAAUGUGCCGCGAGAGGAACAAGGACAGAUAGAGAGGUUUGAGAUCAAUUUACGGCCUUCAGUCAAAAAGAGCGGGAAACUAUGAAAAAU